AUGGACAUCGCAACCGUUGAUUGGAAUAAGAUGAAGGAAAAUGCCACAACUUUGAUAAGACUUUGUGUUUCUGAUGAUGUAAUGAAUCAUAUCCUAGACCUUACAACUUUGAAGGAUGCAGAGGUUGAGAACCAGACAGGGAGAAAAAUAAAGUAUUUGCGGUCUGAUAUUGGAACUGAAUACAUUGACAAGAAGUUGAUGCAUUUCUGUGAGGAGAAUGGAAUACAUAGGAACUUUUCUGUGAGGAAGACACCACAAUAA